CUUUGCUGACGAGUGGCGGACGGGUGAGUAAUGUCUGGGAAACUGCCUGAUGGAGGGGGAUAACUACUGGAAACGGUGGCUAAUACCGCAUAACGUCGCAAGACCAAAGAGGGGGACCUUCGGGCCUCUUGCCAUCAGAUGUGCCCAGAUGGGAUUAGCUUGUUGGUGAGGUAACGGCUCACCAAGGCGACGAUCCCUAGCUGGUCUGAGAGGAUGACCAGCCACACUGGAACUGAGACACGGUCCAGACUCCUACGGGAGGCAGCAGUGGGGAAUAUUGCACAAUGGGCGCAAGCCUGAUGCAGCCAUGCCGCGUGUAUGAAGAAGGCCUUCGGGUUGUAAAGUACUUUCAGCGGGGAGGAAGGUGUUGUGGUUAAUAACCGCAGCAAUUGACGUUACCCGCAGAAGAAGCACCGGCUAACUCCGUGCCAGCAGCCGCGGUAAUACGGAGGGUGCAAGCGUUAAUCGGAAUUACUGGGCGUAAAGCGCACGCAGGCGGUCUGUCAAGUCGGAUGUGAAAUCCCCGGGCUCAACCUGGGAACUGCAUUCGAAACUGGCAGGCUUGAGUCUUGUAGAGGGGGGUAGAAUUCCAGGUGUAGCGGUGAAAUGCGUAGAGAUCUGGAGGAAUACCGGUGGCGAAGGCGGCCCCCUGGACAAAGACUGACGCUCAGGUGCGAAA
rnacentral:rRNA from 1 species